GGGAGGGAACAGUCACCCUGCUAGGUACGGGGAGGGAACAGUCACCCUGCUAGGUACGGGGAGGUGACGGUCACCCUGCUAGGUACGGGGAGGUGACGGUCACCCUGCUAGGUACGGGGAGGGAACAGUCACCCUGCUAGGUACGGGGAGGUGACGGUCACCCUGCUAGGCACGGGGAGGUGACGGUCACCCUGCUAGGUACGUGGAGGUGACGGUCACCCUGCUAGGUACGGGGAGGUGACGGUCACCCUGCUAGGUACGGGGAGGGGACGGUCACCCUGCUAGGUACGGGGAGGGGACGGUCACCCUGCUAGGUACGGGGAGGGGACGGUCACCCUGCUAGGUACGGGGAGGUGACGUCACCCUGUUAGGUACGGGGAGGGAACGGUCACCCUGCUAGGUACGGGGAGGUGACGUCACCCUGUUAGGUACGGGGAGGGAACAGUCACCCUGUUGGGAACAGUCACCCUGUUAGGUACGGGGAGGGAACAGUCACCCUGCUAGGUACGG
ensembl:lncRNA